rnacentral:rRNA from 1 species
GACGAACGCUGGCGGCGUGCUUAACACAUGCAAGUCGAACGGAAAGGCCCUGCUUGCAGGGUACUCGAGUGGCGAACGGGUGAGUAACACGUGGGUGAUCUGCCCUGCACUUCGGGAUAAGGCUGGGAAACUGGGUCUAAUACCGGAUAGGAGCCAUUUUUAGUGUGAUGGUUGGAAAGUUUUUUCGGUGUAGGAUGAGCUCGCGGCCUAUCAGCUUGUUGGUGGGGUAAUGGCCUACCAAGGCGGCGACGGGUAGCCGGCCUGAGAGGGUGGACGGCCACAUUGGGACUGAGAUACGGCCCAGACUCCUACGGGAGGCAGCAGUGGGGAAUAUUGCACAAUGGGCGCAAGCCUGAUGCAGCGACGCCGCGUGGGGGAUGACGGCCUUCGGGUUGUAAACUCCUUUCGCUAGGGACGAAGCUUUUUGUGACGGUACCUAGAUAAGAAGCACCGGCUAACUACGUG